CUUCUAUAUAUGAUGGAAAUUGCGCAACACAGAUAAACAAGAUCUCCGGACUUCGUGCACAGGUGGUCAUCAACUUGAUAAAAGAUCCUGACGUGAAAAACACUGUCUACCAGAAAAUUUCCACACAAGCCCCAAGCUUGCCCACGUUUAGUCAGCAAAAGACAUACAUGUAUAUAUAUAGUGAUAUGAUAAUAGUGAAGACAAAAACUGAAGCACAUAAGAAGGCAAGUGGCUGCAAAGUGGAAGUAAGAUAGCCACAUGUUGGAAAGAUAACACAAUGAUACAUGUACUUCUUAUAAAAAUUUGUCAUUAUUCAUCAGGACCUUGUAUGAUAUACAUUACAUACAUGUGCUUAAAGAACAUACACUCCUGUGUGAAACAGUUUCACUUAUUCCAUAAUUCAGCCAAGAGAGAAGCCGAGGGAGAAGUAACCCUAGGAUGACACCUGUAAUAAUAUCCAAGCAGGAUAAAGACUACUAUUUGACUAACUAAUUCCUUAUUAUAUAUAUUUGUUGGAGUAACAAACAUUUUACAUAAUUUUAGAAUACAUACAUGAUGUAUAAUAAUUAGUAACCAUAUUUAGCUACCGUAACUUGUACUUUAUGGUACAUCCAAGUCUGUUGCCGUUAGAUUUAGCAUUAUCAACAAUUCUUGUUAUGACCUUUUCAAAUUUGUUUGGACUACUAUCAUUUUGUGAAAUGUAUUUAUAUUCUGUAGAUUUGAACUUUGAGAAUUUCAAGUUCAUUUGGAUGACCAAACAUUGUGGGAAUUGAAACUUAAUUAUGCCCCCCCUUUGAAGAAGAGGGGGUAUAUUGCUUUGCAAAUGUCCGUUGGUCUGUCCGUCCGUCAGUAGACCAAAGCUUGUCCGAGUGAUAACUCCACAAUUCCUGACCCUAUUGUCAUCAAACUUGACGUGAAGGUCGGGCUUAACCAGUGGAUGACUCCUAUUGAGUUUAGGGGUCAUCGAGGCAAAGGUCAAGGUAACAGUGACCUUUAACGGGAAAAUGUCAAUGUUUGUAUGAGUGCUUACUCAACAAUGUCUGGACCUAUGGUCAUCAAACUUAAUAUAGAGGCCGGGCCUGACCAGUAGAUGAUCCCUAUUUAUUUUAGGGGUCAAAGGUCAAGGUCAGAGUGACCUUGAUUGCAAAAAGCUCCGAGCGAUAACUGGACAAUGCCUGCACCCAUGGCCCUCAAACUUGACUUGGAGAUUGGGCCUGACCAGUAGAUGAUUCCUAUUUAUUUUAUGGUCAUUGUGUUAAAGGUCUAUGUCACAGUGACUUCGAACGCGAAAAGCUUGUCCAUGUGAUAACUCUACAAUGCCUGCACCCAUGAUAUCUACACUUGACAUUUACGUUGAGUGUGACCAGUAGAUGACCCCUAUGGAUUUGAGGUCAAAAGUCAAGGUCACAACUCAUAUUAUAUUAUUAAAAUUACAUCAUAUUUCAUUAUUCCCUGCUGCUAAGAGGAUACAUGUUAUCUGUCAUCAUCUGAGCAGGAUUAAAAAAUGUACCAACUAUCCUGACACUGAAAAUGGUCCUAAUCUUAAAUCUGCCCCAAAGGCAUCUCAUGUCAUUGACAAAUUAGCUGUGAUUUCGUUGAAUUUAUGUAUUGAUUUUCAAUAGAUUAAAGAUGCAUUCUUACUCCCAAAUAAGGUUAUUACAAUUAUUUUAAUAUACUGAAAUGGAUGAAUAAAAAUAGAAAAAAUAAUAGUUCUUAUGAAGGAUACUGUGUUAAAUUUGAAAGAAAGUUGCAGAAAACACAGCAGUUUUACCUUUUAAGUUGAUAGUUGAUCACAGUAAAUCUUUUAGCACUCACCAGUCAUUUAAUAUUUGUGUGUUUUCAGCUACAGAAUACACGGUUACAAUCUUGUUAUCAGUAAAUAAUAUUUUUAAUGAAUGCAUUAUUUAGUAAGUAGUUAAAUGUUUAUCACUGAAAAUUUUUGUUUGUUAUACAUGUGUAUGUAUUGAUUUAAAUACUAUUAUCACUUUAAGUUUGAAUUUUUCAAAUUUGUUAGGAUGACCUAACAUUUUGUGUAUUCAUAUUUUGGUCAAUAGAUUUGAACUUUGACCAAUUUAAAAUUAUUGUGACAUCCUAACGUUUCGUGAUUUUCAAUAAUUUCAACUUUGAAUGUCUCAAAUUUGUUAUGAGGUCCUAACAUUUUGUAAUUUCAUAUAUUUGAUUUUCAAUGGUUUUAACUUUGAAUGUCUCAAAUUUGUUAGGACGUGCUAACAUUUUGAGAGUUUAUAUUUUUAUUUUCAAUACUUUACAGGUGGAAUGGUUCAAAUUUGUUAGGACGUCCUAACAUUUUGAGAUUUUCUAUUUUCAAUACUUUUCACUUGGAAUGGUUCAAAUUUGUUAGGACGUCCUAACAUUUUGAGAUUUUCUAUUUUCAAUACUUUUCACUUGGAAUGGUUCAAAUUUGUUAGGACGUCCUAACAUUUUGAGAUUUUCUAUUUUCAAUACUUUUCACUUGGAAUGGUUCAAAUUUGUUAGGACAUCCUAACAUUUUGAUAUUUUUUAUUUUCAAUACUUUUUACUUGGGAUGGUUCAAAUUUGUUAGGACGUCCUAACAUUUUGAGAUUUUAUAUUUUCAAUACUUUUCACUUGGAAUGGUUCAAAUUUGUUAGGACGUCCUAACAUUUUGAGAUUUUCUAUUUUCAAUACUUUAUACUUGGAAUGGUUCAAAUUUGUUAGGACGUCCUAACAUUUUGAGAUAUUCUAUUUUCAAUACUUUAUACUUAAAUUGGUUCAAAUUUGUUAGGACGUCCUAACAUUUUGAGAUUUUUUUAUUUUCAAUACUUUUCACUUUGAAUGGUUCAAUUUUGUUAGGACGUCCUAACACUAUGUGAUUUUAUAUCUUUGAUUUUCAAUAGUUGUAACUUUGAAUGUUUCAACUUUGUUAGGACGUCCUAACAAUUUGUGAUUUAAUAUUUGAGUUUUCAAUACUUAUAACUAUAAAUGUUUCAACUUUGUUAGGACGUCCUAACAUUUUGUGAUUUAAUAUUUUGGUUUUCAAUAUUUUAACUUUAAAUGUUUCAAAAUUGUUAGGACGUCCUAACAUUUUGGGUUAUUUUUGAUUUUCAAAUACCUUUAACUAAGAAUUUUCAAAUUUGUUAGGACGUCCUAACAUUUUGGGAUCUCACAUCUUUAAUUUUCAAUGGUUUCCUCUUUGAAUUUUUCAAAUUUGUUAGGACGUCCUAACAUUUUGGGAUCUCACAUCUUUAAUUUUCAAUGGUCUCCUCUUUGAAUUUUUCAAAUUUGUUAGGACGUCCUAACAUUUUGGGAUCUCACAUCUUUAAUUUUCAAUGGUUUCCUCUUUGAAUUUUUCAAAUUUGUUAGGACGUCCUAACAUUUUGGGAUCUCACAUCUUUAAUUUUCAAUGGUUUCCUCUUUGAAUUUUUCAAAUUUGUUAGGACGUCCUAACAUUUUGGGAUCUCACAUCUUUAUUUUUCAAUGGUCUCCUCUUUGAAUUUUUAAAAUUUGUUAGGACGUCCUAACAUUUUGGGAUCUCACAUCUUUAAUUUUCAAUGGUUUCCUCUUUGAAUUUUUCAAAUUUGUUAGGACGUCCUAACAUUUUGGGAUCUCACAUCUUUAAUUUUCAAUGGUUUCCUCUUUGAAUUUUUCAAAUUUGUUAGGACGUCCUAACAUUUUGGGAUCUCACAUCUUUAUUUUUCAAUGGUUUCCUCUUUGAAUUUUUAAAAUUUGUUAGGACGUCCUAACAUUUUGGGAUCUCACAUCUUUAAUUUUCAAUGGUUUCCUCUUUGAAUUUUUCAAAUUUGUUAGGACGUCCUAACAUUUUUGGCUUUCAUAUCUUUGGUGUUACUUUGAAUGUUUCAAAUUUUGUUAGGACGUCCUAACAUUUUCUAUUAUCUUACUGUUUUUGAUGGGAAAUGCUAUUGAAUAAAGACUAAAAACUCA